UACGAAGGGGGCUAGCGUUGCUCGGAAUUACUGGGCGUAAAGGGCGCGUAGGCGGAUAUCUAAGUUGGGGGUGAAAGCCCUCGGCUCAACUGAGGAAGUGCACCCGAAACUGGCGAGCUUGAGUACGAAAGAGGAUCGCGGAAUUCCCGGUGUAGAGGUGAAAUUCGUAGAUAUCGGGAGGAACACCGGUGGCGAAGGCGGCGAUCUGGGUCGAUACUGACGCUGAGGAGAA
rnacentral:rRNA from 1 species